AUAUUCAAAAAAAAAAAAAAAUGGAUAACAAAUGACUUUUGUAUUGUAUGUACAUGUUUGGAUUGAAAUUUAAAUUUAGGUUGUUUGAGAGCACAUCACACUACAAGAAUCAUUUUUUUUAAUUUGUUAAUAACUUUGCAAUAGUCUUCCCCUUUUACCUUUCUCUCUCUACAUCUCACCCUAGUUUGCUUCCGCCGGCGUCUUCUGUUCUCCGAUGUUGUUCGUUUUCCUUGGGUGAAUUCACACUUGCUUUCGCUUCUGAACCCUAGUAAGAUUCAUUCCUUUUAAUAUUCUUGUAUAUCUUUUGAAUGUCUUAAUUUUAUUUCAUAAAAUUUGUUCUAGGUAUAUCGUUUGAGGUAGAACGAAAUAUUGAAUCAAAAAGGUAGAAGAGAAAGGCAGUGACUUCAAUAUGUAUAUUUUUGUAUUCGUGCAUGCAAUGCAAAGUAUGCUCAUAUGUUUUUCUGAUCCAAUUUUUCAUUUCAAGUUAGUGUUAGAUUUUGCCUCUAUGACUAACAUUUCUCUCUUCCCAACCUUUUCAGGUUUGGUCCUUUCGAUCUCUUUCACAUUCUAUUUGCGCUAUGUAUAGGUUUUUUUAAUUCAUUUCUUUAAUUAUUUUGAGAAUUUGGUAUGUGAUAUUCUUGUUUUGUGCCACUGGUAAAGGGCUUUAGGGAUUCAAAUGCUUUAGUAUACUCAUCUAAUUUUCUAUGACCAAAAAACAGAGCACAAGGUCCUUGCAUAAGUUGGAAAGUGGUGAGGAAGUCAAUCAGGAAAUGAGAACAUCAGCUGGUUUUUGCAUCAGUAGAUGGUUAGCUGUUUACUUAUCCAAGGGAGCAAUGUUUCUUGACAUGGGAAGACUAUUCACAUGCUAUGACAUUGGAAUUCUCUGUUUAUGUGGUAGCUUCUCUGAAUACCACUUAACUGUUUUAAUAAAUUUUUAAGAAUAAAAUAUAUUCAAAUUUAAUAAGAUUAGUAAUGUGAAAAAAUGAACAGGUCCCAAUAUAUAUAUAUAUAUAUAUAUAAAUAUAUAUAUAUAUAUAGCUGAGAUGUCACCCAAGCAUCUCCAUGGAGGUCUUAUACAAAACUUAAUUAGGUACGGUAAGAGAUUAAUUUCAUCUUAAUUCUGUAUGAGAUGAUCCAUAGACAUCUACUCUGUACACCAUCUAUUCAAUUUUAUUAGAGUAUGGCAUAUGCAUUAUAAUAAAACUCUUUCCUUCCUUUUUGUGUUGAAUGGUGAUAAUUCAUAUUGUUUGAUGUUGUAGUAUCCUUGAGGCUUAAGCAGUACUAUAAGAUGGAUUCUAAUUUUUCCUUUUAAUUGGAUGUGAAAAAUUACAGUGAUUAGUUGCUUCUAAACAUCUUUGUAUGAUAAUAUUUAUGGUCCAAAGAUCGCCUUUAUCAUGAGAAGGGCUGACGACCAGGUUCUACUGCCAGAGAACUUCUAAGGCUCAAUGCUAUGAUAAGUACAUUUAGAUUGGCACAUCUAUGCUUCAAGUCAAUUAUAAGAUGCAAGAAUGUAAUUAUUUUGCAUUCCACUAAUCUAUUUUCUAUCAUGUCUACUUUCAUUGUGUUUUCAGGUUUGCAAAAUGAAGGUUUGUCUUUUAUUAUUUUGUUCAUAUUAGAAAUAAACAUUGAAGAAUUUUGUUUUAUUGAAUGAGUAGUAUAUGUACAAGUUUAUAGCAAGAAAAAUCAACUAAGUAUACACUUGUGCUACUUAAUGAUCAAGGGAACUUACUAUUUUAAUUAUUCCUUUCAUUCUUUCUUUCUAAUGUCCUGCCACUUUUGUUUUUCACUGUUGUAGUAGUAUGAGUUCUGAUUUCAGAUGUUUGGAUUGAGAAAGUAUGGAGCAGGGAGACAAAUGUGGUAGAUGAUACAAGGAUGAUGAAUUGAGCAAUGAAUCGAACAGAGCUGAUGAGGGAGAGGGCAAAGGAGAAGACUCAUUUAUUUGAGUUUUAUAAACAUGAAAAUCUCUUUUUUCAGAAAGGGUGACGCUCAUUCUGCAGCCAGUGUUCCAACCCCUAUUAUGAUCGUUGGGAGGGUCCGGAAGCAGAAUCUCCCGACCGUCUGUAGAAGAGUGUGCGAAGACCUUUGGUACUUUUCCCAUUGAUACUGUUAAUAUGAAGAGAAAAUAUAAUUUCAUCGAUGUUAAAGUAAGCCACUUUAACAACGAUUUCCUUCCUCCUCUGUUCCUCAAAAGGUAUCCACGCAUACUCGAUCAAUUAUUGUUCGUAGAAUGAUGUAAUGACAAUGGUGUUGAAGGUGGGCGUGGUUUAGAUUCGUGUUUUCAUGGAGUUUUAAAGAGUUUAGAUUCCUCUUUUCAUGAAGAAAAAUGGAAUAGAAAGAACGAGCUCAGCUUUUAUUCUGCUAGUCAC